AUUUUCCUGACAAAUGUCAUAUAACGGGAAAUAUUUCUGAAAAUCUAUCAAACAUGUGGCAGUAUCAAAAGAAAUUGGAGGUUCACUUCUUGAGAGCAGGCAGCUACAAAAUGGAAGGUCGAUCAACAAAACAAGUAUACUUGAAAAGCAAGAAAGAAACACCAGAAAAUAUGAAAAGACAGAAGAACAAGGGAACUUGAAUAAAAAAAAAUAACUUUUAAAGAUAGGAAUUCAGGAUUUACUUGGAAACUAAAUUUAUUUUGAGAACAGCAGUGAUUGACUAAGCUCUGUUACUAAGAGAUAAAGUACUAUUAUCACAUUGGUUUUGUUAUGCUCAUAAAACAUACUAAAGUUUCAUUAAUCUUAUUUUAGAUAAUUGUUUUCUGGUUUAUUUUGUAAAGGUUGUCUACUAAUUAACAUAGUUACAUUUAAGUAAAAUUUUCCAUGAA